AGUGAACGCUGGCGGUAGGCCUAACACAUGCAAGUCGAACGGCAGCACAGUAAGAGCUUGCUCUUACGGGUGGCGAGUGGCGGACGGGUGAGGAAUACAUCGGAAUCUACUUUUUCGUGGGGGAUAACGUAGGGAAACUUACGCUAAUACCGCAUACGACCUACGGGUGAAAGCAGGGGAUCUUCGGACCUUGCGCGAUUGAAUGAGCCGAUGUCGGAUUAGCUAGUUGGCGGGGUAAAGGCCCACCAAGGCGACGAUCCGUAGCUGGUCUGAGAGGAUGAUCAGCCACACUGGAACUGAGACACGGGCCAGACUCCUACGGGAGGCAGCAGUGGGGAAUAUUGGACAGUGGGCGCAAGCCUGAUCCAGCCAUACCGCGUGGGUGAAGAAGGCCUUCGGGUUGUAAAGCCCUUUUGUUGGGAAAGAAAAGCAGCAGGUUAAUACCCCGCUGUUCUGACGGUACCCAAAGAAUAAGCACCGGCUAACUUCGU
rnacentral:rRNA from 1 species